GGGGUUGUGGCUCAGUGGUAGAGCACUUGCCUAGCAUAUGUGAGGCCCUGAGUUCGAGCCUCAGCACCA
rnacentral:tRNA from 1 species